ACCACCACUCAGAGAACCACAGGCAGAGCCACCACACACAAUACCACUGCAGCCACCACAGCCAGCCUCAGGGUCACAGUGGGCAGAGAGCACCCAGGGUCACAGCUGCUGAGUCUGGAAGCUGCGGUCGGGCUGGCAGUGGUCUCUGCUCUAAUCAAAGCGGCCUCUCUGGGACUGCUGGUCUUCAUGAUGUGGAAGAAAAGCAAAGGUGGCACUCAUGCUCUUGGUCCUCCCACAGGGCAGCAGACCCAGGCCGAAACUCCAGCCAGGAAACCCCCUCAGCACACUGAGGAGAAAUAUGAGAACACUGGGAAUCAAGGACCAGAUCACGGCUCCCACAGGUAACCAAGACCUCAGGAAUGACUGCCAAGCAGGUAUUGGAGGCCACAGAGAAAAUGAGCAAAUAGCUGCCCCUCCUCCUCUUGUCUCAACUCCCUGGCCCUCACCCACCAAAGUAAACACCCUCAAGACUUGCCUUAUUAUGUCUAAGGAAGAAAUGGUGUUGCCUUUAGUCUCUCCCAUCAAAAGCAACUGCAAUACCCAAGCACAUCCAAGACUGCUCCACGACUUUGCUUCUGUGACCGACCGCCUCAGGCCAAAGUGCACAAAUCCCCAAACUCUGCUAGCCAUCCCAGGUCUAACUGGCAUUAUGGUCUCCAGUUCUUCAGCAGGUCUCCUCACUGAAGCACACGAGCAGGCCCGGCGGUGUGAGCCCACUCGGCAUGUGAGAAGGAAGUGAUGCUCCAAGGGCUUUCUUCAAGCACCCCUGACCUGCUCCUUUCCCUCUCACCCACUGCUCCCUGCAUUUCUCUCCCACAGAAGUGUACUCAUUUCUAUGAGGUACCAGGCUGGGUUACAGAGACAGC